GUCCGGUUUGUUUUGAAUCUAACUUCAAACGUAAAACAUCGUACAGAUUACGUUGAACAAAAUCAAAUCUAAUAAAUGAAGGCGGUGAAUUAAUUUUUUUACCAUAACACAUGAAUAACUGUAGAUAACAAGUGCGUGUAUUUGUAGAAAUUAAAUAAAAACUCAAUGACUAUGGUGGUUCCGACUCUUCUUGAAUUUUCAAUCUCAAAUAGUAAAGCCCAAUGAUUCUUAAAUUCUUGAAUGACCAUAAGAAUCUUUAAAGAACAUAUCUGUUUUAAAAUUCAAAUGACAUUUCACACAUGUGCUUAAGAAGUUAUGCUACACUUGUUAUGAUUUUUUGUUAGAAAUUUGG
rnacentral:lncRNA from 1 species